rnacentral:rRNA from 1 species
CCUGGCGGCGAGUGGCGAACGGGUGAGUAAUACAUCGGAACGUGCCCAAUCGUGGGGGAUAACGUAGCGAAAGCUACGCUAAUACCGCAUAAGAUCUACGGAUGAAAGCGGGGGAUUCGCAAGAACCUCGCGCGAGUGGAGCGGCCGAUGGCAGAUUAGGUAGUUGGUGAGGUAAAGGCUCACCAAGCCUUCGAUCUGUAGCUGGUCUGAGAGGACGACCAGCCACACUGGGACUGAGACACGGCCCAGACUCCUACGGGAGGCAGCAGUGGGGAAUUUUGGACAAUGGGCGAAAGCCUGAUCCAGCAAUGCCGCGUGCAGGAUGAAGGCCUUCGGGUUGUAAACUGCUUUUGUACGGAACGAAAAGGUCUGCCCUAAUACGGCGGGCCCAUGACGGUACCGUAAGAAUAAGCACCGGCUAACUACGUGCCAGCAGCCGCGGUAAUACGUAGGGUGCAAGCGUUAAUCGGAAUUACUGGGCGUAAAGCGUGCGCAGGCGGUUAUAUAAGACAGUUGUGAAAUCCCCGGGCUCAACCUGGGAACUGCAUCUGUGACUGUAUAGCUAGAGUACGGUAGAGGGGGAUGGAAUUCCGCGUGUAGCAGUGAAAUGCGUAGAUAUGCGGAGGAACACCGAUGGCGAAGGCAAUCCCCUG